rnacentral:rRNA from 1 species
GACGAACCGUGCGAACGUUAUUCGGAAUCACUGGGCUUAAAGCGCGUGUAGGCGGUCCGGCACGUUCGUCGCUGAAAUCCCCCGGCUCAACCGGGGAACGGGCGCGGAUACGACCGGGCUAGAGGGAGGUAGGGGGAGCUGGAACUUCCGGUGGAGCGGUGAAAUGCGUUGAGAUCGGAAGGAACGCCCGUGGCGAAAGCGGGCUCCUGGACCUAGCCUGACGCUGAGACGCGAAAGCCAGGGGAGCGAACGGG